UGUCCUGGGCGAGACAACAGCAGCGCGUCUGGGAAGGUCUUCCGCUGCUUUAGUGUAUGUAGUGAAUGCAAACACAACAGCGUGCGUUCUGGGAAUUACGACGUUCUAAGAGUGAAAUAGUGAUUAUUUUCUGACUGUUCCCUCUUCGUCGAUACACUUGCUGGAAUUUUGGAUUAUUUCUCUCGGAAAUAUUUUGCGGGAUUAAUUUGUGAGAAGGUACUCAGCCAGUUGGAAGGAAGAAUUCAGCCCACACCACCUCCAUCUCGGAACCAUUCAGAAUCUUGUUCUGAUUUGGAUUUCUACUCAAUCUCCUGGUCUGGAUGUUCACUCUGUACCGGUUUGGCUCAUCGAAUCCCACCGCCUUUGUUGGAUGAUUCAGAAGCUGAGGACAAUGACUCAACACACCUCCAGGCUGUGUAAGGGCUAUUUGACCAAGAAGGAGAGUGAUGGAGUGCUGCAUCCAGAUGAAAUGGCCUCCACAAUCACCUGACCUCAACCCAAUUGAGAUGGUUUGGGAUGAGUUGGACUGCAGAGUGAAGGAAAAGCAGC
ensembl:lncRNA